UCCUGGCUCAGGAUGAACGCUAGCUACAGGCUUAACACAUAGCAAGUCGAGGGGCAGCAUAACGAAAGCUUGCUUUUGUUGAUGGCGACCGGCGCACGGGUGAGUAACGCGUAUCCAACCUUCCCUAUACUAGAGGAUAGCCCGGCGAAAAGUCGGAUUAAUACUCUAUGUUCUUCGUAGAAGACAUCUGAAAUGAAGCAAAGGUUUACCGGUAUAGGAUGGGGAUGCGUCUGAUUAGGUUGUUGGCGGGUAACGGCCCACCAAGCCCACGAUCAGUAGGGGUUCUGAGAGGAAGGUCCCCACAUUGGAACUGAGACACGGUCCAAACUCCUACGGGAGGCAGCAGUGAGGAAUAUUGGUCAAUGGACGAGAGUCUGAACCAGCCAAGUAGCGUGCAGGAUGACGGCCCUAUGGGUUGUAAAUUGCUUUUGUACGGGGAUAAAGGAGCCCACGUGUGGACUUUUGCAGGUACCGUACGAAUAAGGACCGGCUAAUUCCGUGCC
rnacentral:rRNA from 1 species